rnacentral:rRNA from 1 species
UACGAGGGAUCCUAGCGUUGUUCGGAAUUAUUGGGCGUAAAGGGUGCGUAGGCGGCCCGGUAAGUCCGCUGUAAAAGUCAAAGGCUCAACCUUUGAAUGUCAGUGGAUACUGCCGGGCUAGAGUCCGGAAGAGGCGAGUGGAACUCCUGGUGUAGCGGUGGAAUGCGCAGAUAUCAGGAAGAACACCAACGGCGAAGGCAGCUCGCUGGGACGGUACUGACGCUGAGACGCGAAAGCGUGGGGAGCGAACAGG